GAUAAACGCUGGCGGCGUGCCUAAUGCAUGCAAGUCGCACGGAGUACUUCUUCGGAAGUACUGAGUGGCGAACGGGUGAGGAACGCGUGGACAACCUACCCCGGCGUGGGGGAGUACCCGCCAGAAAUGGCGGCUAAUACCGCGUACGGUUCUCUGGCGACGGGCUGGGGAAAGAAAGCAGUGAUGCGCGCUGGGAGGGGGUCUGCGACCGAUUAGCUCGUUGGCGGGGUAACGGCUCACCAAGGCGAUGAUCGGUAGCUGGUCUGAGAGGAUGAUCAGCCACACGGGGACUGAGAGACGGCCCCGACUCCUACGGGAGGCAGCANCAAGGAAUUUUCCGUCAAUGGGGGCAACCCUGACGGAGCAACGCCGCGUGACGGAUGACGCCUCUUGGGU
rnacentral:rRNA from 1 species